GAUGAACGCGGCGGCGUGCCUAACACAUGCAAGUCGAACGGGGUUCUAUGUCGGAAGUUUUCGGAUGGAAGAGAUAGAACCCAGUGGCGGACGGGUGAGUAACACGUGGGUAACCUGCCUCAUAGAGGGGGAUAACAGAGAGAAAUCACUGCUAAUACCGCAUAAGCACACGGGAUCGCAUGAUCCAGGGUGAAAAGAUUUAUCGCUAUGAGAUGGACUCGCGUCUGAUUAGCUGGUUGGCGGGGUAAAGGCCCACCAAGGCGACGAUCAGUAGCCGAUCUGAGAGGAUGGCCGGCCACAUUGGGACUGAGACACGGCCCAGACUCCUACGGGAGGCAGCAGUGGGGGAUAUUGCACAAUGGAGGGAACUCUGAUGCAGCAACGCCGCGUGAGUGAAGAAGUAUUUCGGUAUGUAAAGCUCUAUCAGCAGGGAAGAUAAUGACAGUACCUGAAUAAGAAGCCCCG
rnacentral:rRNA from 1 species